UGAAAAGCGAAGAUGAAGAAGAGUAGGCAUGGGAAUUGUGGCAGAGAGCUGAUGGAUGGUGCGAAUCAGUACAGGACUUUUGUUGAAUGGGCUUCGGAGCUUCUAGACUGAACAGGUUAGUAGGUCUAGCGGGAGGUCUUGCCGUUAAAAAAGACGAAGUAUUGAGCUGAUGUCUGCUCAGUACGGAUAAGUGCGUUUACAAUUGUAGACGAAUGAAGGUGGCACCACGGGUUACUCGUCCUUUUU
rnacentral:ncRNA from 1 species